rnacentral:rRNA from 1 species
GACGAACGCUGGCGGCGUGCUUAACACAUGCAAGUCGAACGGAAAGGCCCUGCUUUUGUGGGGUGCUCGAGUGGCGAACGGGUGAGUAACACGUGAGUAACCUGCCCUUGACUUUGGGAUAACUUCAGGAAACUGGGGCUAAUACCGGAUAGGAGCUCCUGCUGCAUGGUGGGGGUUGGAAAGUUUCGGCGGUUAGGGAUGGACUGGCGGCUUAUCAGCUUGUUGGUGGGGUAGUGGCUUACCAAGGCUUUGACGGGUAGCCGGCCUGAGAGGGUGACCGGCCACAUUGGGACUGAGGUACGGCCCAGUCUCCUACGGGAGGCAACAGUGGGGAAUAUUGCACAAUGGGCGGAAGCCUGAUGCAACAACGCCGCGUGCGGGAUGACGGCCUUCGGGUUGUAAACCGCUUUCGCCUGUGACGAAGCGUGAGUGACGGUAAUGGGUAAAGAAGCACCGGCUAACUACGUG